rnacentral:rRNA from 1 species
UUCUCCUACGGGAGGCAGCAGUAGGGAAUCUUCCACAAUGGACGAAAGUCUGAUGGAGCAAUGCCGCGUGAGUGAAGAAGGGUUUCGGCUCGUAAAACUCUGUUGUUAAAGAAGAACACCUUUGAGAGUAACUGUUCAAGGGUUGACGGUAUUUAACCAGAAAGCCACGGCUAACUACGUGCCAGCAGCCGCGGUAAUA